rnacentral:lncRNA from 1 species
GGAUUAGAUAAGAAGGAAAAUAUUUUUAUUAUUAUUUUUUUAUAAAAUGAUUAAACUAGUUCGUAGUCAACUCAGCAACCGUUUCCCCGGCAACGGUGCCAAAAAUGCUUGUUGACACUUGCUAACACCACUUGAAUACUAGGUUGUCAUCCCCAGCAUGGCACUAGAGUGUACUAUGGUAUUUAUACGCACACAGAUAAUCCGCAAGCACACGGAUACCGUUGAAGCUUUUACCCGGUUAAAGGUUUUAUCGUAUCCACAGGGAAACGGGAGAACUGAUCUACGCUCUAACUUAACCAAGAUAAGUAAAUAGGUGUGAAUAGGAAAGAUGGUAGAAUCGAAUAAGAACAAUAUUAAAGGUAAGAUAACCGUGAGUGAUAAUAUGGGAAUAGAGAGUAGAGCAAUUCUAGUAUAUGGGCGAUGGUAGCAGAAUAG